rnacentral:rRNA from 1 species
ACGGAAGGCAGCAGUGGGGAAUAUUGGACAAUGGGGGCAACCCUGAUCCAGCGACGCCGCGUGAGUGAAGAAGUAUUUCGGUAUGUAAAGCUCUAUCAGCAGGGACGAUAAUGACGGUACCUGACUAAGAAGCUCCGGCUAAAUACGUGCCAGCAGCCGCGGUAAUACGUAUGGAGCAAGCGUUAUCCGGAUUUACUGGGUGUAAAGGGAGCGUAGACGGGACAGCAAGUCUGAUGUGAAAUGCGGGGGCUCAACCCCUGAACUGCAUUGGGAACUGUUGACCUUGAGUGCCGGAGAGGUAAGCGGAAUUCCUAGUGUAGCGGUGAAAUGCGUAGAUAUUAGGAGGAACACCAGUGGCGAAGGCGGCUUACUGGACGGUAACUGACGUUGAGACUCGAAAGCGUGGGGAGCAAACAGGAUUAGAUACCCUGGUA